GGGGGAGCAGUCAAGAAAUAAUGAGGUUUAAAGCAUGAUGAGGAAAAUCUUUAUACCUGAGAUGUGAGGAGAAGAAUAAUACAAGCCUCCUAUGAACAGAAAAGGGACAACAGCUAGAAGGAGGAGUGUGUCCAGGAGCGCUAUUGAUGUGGUCGGUAACAGGGCCCGUCCUGAAGGUAAAAGAUGACCUGCUUGCUACCUUCCCAGGCACCCAGUGUCACAGAGACAAAAUUUAAAUAGAAAGCAGGGGCCAGGUCAUACCGAGCCACUUUGUUUUGUUCUUAACUACAUUUAAAAUUAUGUAUUUUAAUACCCUAACCUGAUGGGUUUAAAGAGUUUUAGGAACAAAGAUGUGUAACUUAAAACUGUACCUUGAGUAGAAUAUGUACAAGGAUUGGAAGGUGGACAGGACAGACUCAGGGAGGUCUGGCAGGAAGGUGGAGGAGUCUUCCAGGAGAGAGAUGGAUGCAGCACCGUGGGUAGAAACAUGGAAAAUGGCAUACUUGAAAAACUCUUUAGAAAGGGGAAACCCACAGAAUUCCGUGAAGGUUUGACAGGACAGGUGUGAGGCCGUGGAGGAUGCCAAGGAACAUCAGGUGGGCCAGGAGAUGAUGGUUCCAUGGUGGAUGUGCCGAGCUUCACGCCAGUGAAGAAGCCUGGUGGAGGGGAGAAGACUCGAAAGAGCUGAGCACAGAGCUUUGAGAAAUUACAACAGCGAUUACCAGGACAGCACUAACCAGGCAAGAAGACUCAACAGCCAGUGAGGUGGGAGAAAAGUCAGACCCAGAGGGGCAGCAAGGUGUUGCCUGCGAUUUUCAGGAGCCCUGCUGUUUGCCGACAGUGAAACUCACAUGCUGAGAGGGAAUGGAGUCAGGUGAUCGGAGUCAAAGUCUCCAAAGAACCCAGCUGCCCGCGUAUCACAUGGGGAGUCUUCCACCACGGUGCACUGCUUAUUUAUGGAAACCGUUCUGAUCAUGACAAACCAAAAUGUUUUAUUCCUGUUCUACAACAAUUUGGGAAAUAUAAGUGAAAAAAUGUCCAAUGAGCGGGCAAAUAUUGUCCAUUCUGCAUGUUGUUCACAAGUAAAAAUUGUGAUUAAUUAGGUUAGCAACUAUGUACCAUUAAAAGUGACAGUCACAGAUAUUAAUGAGAUUCAUCAAAGUUUCACUUUAAGGAAUCACUACUGUCAUCACCUCUACCUAGAUAAGUCACUACCCUUUAUAUAAAAAGUGAUAUUGAUGAUAGCAAUGAUUGCAGUAGUUUUCUGUUGUUGGUGUACAAAUUGCUCACCGUGAGCAGCUCAAACAACACAAAAUACAGUAGAGCACAACAGGUGGCUAUGAGGUGAAACUAGAACACACUGCGCAGCCAGCCCCAGUAAGAACCACCCCUGGACGCAUGCUUCCGCGAGGCACGGAGACCUCUGCAGAGUGUCUGGAGUUUGGCCUCCCGUGCAGGGCAGGGAGGACCAUGUGCACCGUCUAGAUGCUGCCUUUGUGUGCACAUUUCUUCAACCGGUCACAAAAAUGACGGGGCAACCCAGACUCAGGUACGGAAAUAAGCUGGAUUGUACCGAGACCUCAUUAAAUUAAUCAGCAAUGAACAGUGUUACACUUAACGCCACACUGAUAAUGCAAGGUGGUAAGAAUAUGAUUUGACUGCAAAAAAAUGUGACCAUCUACAGAGAAUUUUGGUCUGCGCCAUGUAUUCACCUCUAAAAAAAUCUUCAAAUUUAGUUUGCUAUGAAAAUCUGCAGUGGUUCCUCAGUAGAGUUAUUUCUCUUUAAAAAACUGAGAGAAGGUGAAAACAUGCUAUUUCAUAUUUUGAGAAGGGUGAAGGUAGUGGACUGAAAGCAUUCACUUUCCUAAGAGGUUUAUUAUGUCUUAUAAUAAUUAGGCAGAAUUGAGUGGAGAGCUGUUCUUCACACCCUCUCUAAUUACCACUACUUGAAACAAAUUAGAAUGAAUCCAGCUGUUUCUUACCUUGGCAAAGGCAAUAUUGAGAACAGUAAUAAUUAAUUUUCCAAUGGAAUGAAUUUCUACAGCUUCCAUGUGGGUUGAAUGCAAAUUAUGUCUGCAAGUAUAAUGUGCUGUAACUCUUCUAUCAAAAAUAUCACCUUAGGAAAAAAUCAAAUAUAUACAGAUAUAUGUAAUUUCAUGUUAUUUCUUAUGUUUUUGUAUACUAGAAAUAUGA
ensembl:lncRNA